rnacentral:rRNA from 1 species
AUAUUGAUUCUUCUUCCUGCUCCUGUUUUAAUACCUCUUCAAAAGCUCUUUUCUCCACAUUGGAGUCAACAUGGCUUCUCAUUUUCUCAAGUCUCUUUUCUUCCAGUUGAGCUUGUAAUUCUUUCCUAGUAUAGGCUGUUCUUAACUGUAGCUGUAAAUUUUUGAUUUCAGGAGAUUCCAUCAACUGCUGCCUGUACUUAUUCCUCCGAAGUUCUUCCCUCUUCAAUUCAUCUAAUUCAUCAGCUAAUGCUUUAUUUUCGAAAUAACCUGAUCCUUUGUUAGAGCAAUGAUAAUCCGCCAUAGUUGAAGGGAAAUUUUUCAAAGUUAAAAUAUAGAAGUAAAGAUAAAAUUUAAGUAACCAAUAGUAUAUGAUUCAAACAAUAAGAAACUAAAUUACGUUAAAUAAAAAUGAUUAUGAUUUAUAAAAAUAAAACAAUGUAAAUUAGUUAUUCAUAAUGAAAAAACUUCCUUAACAAAAGUAAUGUGUAUCAUAGCAACAAAUCAACGAAAGCUAUCAGAGCCAACACGAUUUUAAAAUUAAAAAAUAUUAAAAAUUUUUUUUUAAUUUUUUAUUUUAAGUUAUUAUGAUAAAAUUAGUAAUUUUUUUAAUUUAUUUAUUGGAACUCGGCAAAUAUAAUUUUCACCUGUUUAACAAAAACAUGGUUUUUUGAUUUUAAUUUAAAAUCAGGCCUGCCCGUUGAUUUAAAAAAUUGAAAGGCUGCGGUAUUUUAACUGUACGAAGGUAGCAUAAUCACUUGUCUUUUAAUUGAAGGCUAGAAUGAAUGGUUUAAUGAAAAAUUUUCUUUCUUUAUUUGAUUUCUUUGAAUUUAAUUUUUUAAUUAAAAAGUUAAAAUUUUUUUAUAGGACGAGAAGACCCUUUAGAAAUUUAUUUUUUUUAUAAAUUUUUCUUUUUAGUUAUUAAAGGAUUAAUUUAGAAUGAAAAAUUUUGUUGGGGUGACAGUAGAAUUUUAAUAACUUUUACUAUUUUUUCCAUUUAUUUAUGUUUUGAUCCGGUUUUAUCGAUUAUAAGAUUAAUUUACCUUAGGGAUAACAGCGUUAUUUUUCCGGAGAGUCCUUAUCAAUGGGAAAGUUUGCGACCUCGAUGUUGAAUUAAGAUAAGUUUUGGGUGCAGUUUUUCAAAAUUCUCGGUCUGUUCGACCGUUAAAUUCUUACAUGAUUUGAGUUCAGACCGGUGUGAGCCAGGUCGGUUUCUAUCCUUAUUUUUUUUAUAAUUUAGUACGAAAGGACCAGUUAUAACAAUUAAAUUGUUUUUUA